rnacentral:ncRNA from 1 species
CUUUGCACACGCGGGAGCUCGGAGCACCGGGCUGAGAGGGCGCUGACAUCCGUACGACGGGUACGGAAACCGCUGCGUCGACCGCCGAACCUGUUACCGGGUAAUGCCGGCGUAGGGAGUAGGUCACGAUGACCG